rnacentral:rRNA from 1 species
ACACGUACUGUGCGAACGUUAUUCGGAAUUACUAGGCGUAAAGCGCGUGUAGGCGGAUGUUUAAGUCUGCUGUGAAAUCUCCCGGCUCAACCGGGAGGGGUCAGCGGAAACUGGGCGUCUUGAGUUGGGUAGAGGAGAUCGGAAUUCCCAGUGUAGCGGUGAAAUGCGCAGAUAUUGGGAAGAACACCGACGGCGAAGGCAGAUCUCUGGGCCUAAACUGACGCUGAGACGCGAAAGCUAGGGGAGCAAACAGGAUUAGAAACCCCGGUAGUCC